CCCCCCAAAAUUCUUGGUCUUCUAAUAUUCUGAGUAAUUGUUUACUGGUGUUGAUUGACAAGGAGGAGUUCCCACCUCCUUGGCCAAACUUUUUCUGAACAAGAUGAAAACUGAAAAUUACUUUGUCUUACUCUUAUGGAAUAAACCAAAGGUUACUGUAGCAGUAAAGAAGCAACCAGGAAGACAAUAUCAUUGGUAUGAAGAGGGAAAAGUCCUGCACUGAAAACUGUCCAGGAGUCUGUGAUAAUGAAAAACUUGAACCUUACAUAAGAAGUGCAGGGAUCCAGACAGGAACUGAGGUUUUUGAGACAGAUUUUUAGCAUCAAGCCAUUGCUUGUUAGGGGCUGGCAGAUGCACCAGAGGGAUUGGGAUAAAAAGGGAGCAGAAUUUGGUAGGUUUGGAAAAGCAAAGUGCAUCUUGCAAAUGAGAAGACAAAUGUCCUUUAUUGUAAAUCUGUGACAUGUUCACGAUGAGAUUUUGGUGGUGCAGCACCUUCAUGCAGGAUCAUCUAGUGAUUAGGAAGGGAGGAAUUUCCAAAUGACAACAGGCCAAUGGUCCCUCUAGCUCUCUACCCUGUCUCUGAUAGUGCAAUUUUGAAAGAUCAAAUGUGGAGAAGUUUCCCAAGGGAAGCAGUGGAAGUCCCAUGUCAGGGGACUUUUACAUCUAGACCAGACAAAACACUAGAAAAUGUACUGUAGCUGUAGCAAGCAAUUCUGCAUCAGCAGGGAGAUGGGUUGAAUGAUCUAAUAUGGCUCUUCCAUCUGCAAUUCCUGUGAGUCUAUGAAUCACAUUUCUGUGUGGCAAUGCAGCCGAGUAAAUACAGUGCAGAGCAGUAGCAGCAGCUAUCUUGGUAUCGCUGUAACAGUAACAUGAGUAAAUUAGGCAGACAAAUUCCAAAAAGGGAUAUAUUUGAGUCUCCAGUUCUAAAUCCAUCUGUUCAAACUGCCUAUAGCACAGUAUGCAACUGCUAAUUCCUAAGUGGUUCAGGCUGAAUAACAAGACGUUUUGUGUCAGGUAUGCUAUUAGCAAAGAACUGACCCAUUAUUCGUUCCUGUUUUGUUGUACAGAGGUGGUGUUCCCUAACCAGGCACAUUUUUGGACAAAUACAAAGACUGGCCCAGCUAUCUAUAGCCUCUGUGAAUUUUAACUUUAACCAUAUGGGAGGAUCUUGCAAAAGUAGACUAUAAAAUUUGAAAAUAUGUCAGUUUAAGAUGCAAAGUGUCUUCUGACUGGGAAAGCAAGGGUGGAAGGAUUGAAACAUCUUAUUACCAGACAAAUGUGCUCAAGCUUUAUCCUGGUCCUGUGCCUAGAUGAUCCAGACAGAGCUGAAUUCAUGGACAGUUGGGUGGGUGUCAAAGCUGCCAUAUGUCAGACUAACCAAACAUUUCUUUUGUGCACCCAACCUAGUCCAGUGGGUCAACUAGGCUUAGAAAAACCUCUAACUUUGUUGAUUGAUUUGGGAAAGGUAAGUACCAAACAUAUCAAACUCCACUGUCAACAGUAAUCACCACUGAACAGGAUUACGUGGAACGAAUUUUCAAGAUACUUCUGUGGAAAUAAGGGCUGUAUACAGAGAUGUUACACAGAUGUUAUACAGUUGACAAAAAAGUCCAGUGUUUCAUUACUUACUUCACAGGAGAAAUUCCUCUAGCAGCCAGGAAGAUACUCUUUCAUAAAUCAACAGGAAAGGAAGCGUUUAUGACUUUUCUUGUUCUUUUUACUGUGAUUGCAAAAUCCUGCAAUCCCAACCACCAAAGGCUUAUGUUUCUCAUCACUGCUCAACCCACCCCCUCACAGCCAUCUUCCCACAGUCUUUCUUAACUAUCUUCAUUAAGUGUUACUCCAUUUUCUGGGAUUUUAGCAUGAUGUUUCUGCCAUACCUGUGGGAUCAUAUUUGAUGACUGGUGAUCCCAAAAAGUCUUUUUCCCUUAACUGGCUUCUGAGAGUGCAAGAAGCUCACCACCUCUAUCACUUCUAAUGGGGGAGGCCACCUACAGCACAUCCAAACCCAGAGGCUGGACAUUGAUAUGGGAAAUCAUUUUAGACCAAAUACAUGCAUUUAUUUGUGUGUGAGUAGCUCAACCACCUCUUGAAAUAUCCAGAUUUUUAGUUGUCAACAGGCCUCCUCCAGUACCCUGACUAUUCAUAAAGAUACUGAAGAAUUCAGUUUUAUGACAUCCAGACCUGGUGAUUUAUUCAUUCUGAACUGCAACAUCAUUUCUUCACUAUUCUUCAUUCAUUUUUCCCACAUUUAAAAAGUUUCAUUCAGCCAGCCAUAAAUAAGUGAGUAAAUAAAUAAAUAACCAAUUCCACACCUUUGUGAAGAACGAAAUUGAACAGUUUAUAAAUAAACCAGAAGCUAAAAUGUGUUUGCAUAAACUGAUAAACACUUAGGAAAAGAGAAAUUGGGGGAAAAAAUCCAUCUUUGUAUUUUUCACUGGGAAAAUGAAGACUGUUUUCAGGUAGGAGAAAUAUUUGCACAUUUUCCCUCUAUUUUUGAGCUGGCUUGGUAUAAAAUCCAUUGACAGAAAAUGCUGAAAUUGGUAACACAUUGAAUGUAAUGGUUAAAUGCUUGAAUGUAAUAGUUAAAAAGUUUUUCCACUAAUACUUAACAAAUACUUGGACUUGUUUAUUACUGUUAAAGGAGAGUUUCUUGUCUGUAGCUGUCUUAAGGUUUGGCACCUGAUCUGGACAAAUCAGCCAAAUCCCCCUGACAGUGAAAGGAAAGAAACAGGCUCCUUUCCAGCCCAGCCCAAGAAAGACAUCUGCAGUAGGUGCUAUGAAGAGCUAUGAAGAGACAACCUGGACAAGUAGCUUUGACAUCUGAAUUUUGGCUGGUUAAAACUGAAUUAGAUGAAUUCCUCCAUAAGGUCCUCUCAAACUAAGAGAACAUUUGUUUCCCAUGCUAUUUACAGUUGUUACCCAAUGGCCAAAGGUCCUAUAGGCAUCAGAUGAACUACAUCAGUAUAAACCUAGUAAUUACAAAAUACAGAAACUUUGACAUAGCUGUAGAAUGAAUGCCAGCAUUUAAUAAUUAGAUGCGUACAUUUACAUUAUAUCUGUUUUGUACCUGGAUUUACAGGAAUGGAACCUACAAUUACGACAAGCAAACUGCUUAUACAACUUCAAGGCAAAAUAGACUGCAACUAAACUCAGGAAGUAUUCUUAUUACCUGUAGGUUUCUGGAUUAAUAAGGCAUUCACUGAGAGCAACAGCUGUCUAGCUUCCUGUUCAGUACUGGAUCUAAUGCCUCUACAGAAAUCUAGGUCAAAACACUUGGAAUGCAUGAAUAUCAAACAGAGUUUUCAAAACAGCAAAUGAAUACAUCUUUAACUGGUGACAUUUUCCUGUAGCAUAUGGCUGCAAGCUCAGGGGACUGCAUGCUUUUUUGAUGAAUAUGUUCCGUCAAAAACUAAGGAAUGGCAGUGGGCUUAUAUCACCUUCUGUUUUGCCUUAUGAAAUGAUAAUACAAACUCAUAAAUGGAUACUACUAUCACAAGACUCCUGCCUUUUGUCCAAUCCCAAAGUAGUACAAGGCCUACUGGUUAAGAGCCUCACUCUUUGGUCAUGUUAAAGUGUGAAAGAUAACUGUCAAAGAUGCAUUUUUGUAAAGCACUUGCCCAUGUCACGGAGGGCAUAAGAUUACCUGCAUUUCCAUACGAGUGGAAAACAGCAACAUACGGUACCAGGAAAGAGGCACACAUUAAUUCUACAAUUCCACUAAGACAUUAAACCCUGCAUAUAAUUUCUGCAAAAGAAUGGCACACUAGAACAAAGGUAAUAUUAAUAUAGUUUAGCUUGACAACGCAAAUAUGCAGGGAAAGUUGUACAUUUUUAAUGAUAGAAAUAAGAGAAUAAAGAACUAAACUAAAAUUAAAGUGCUGGCAUCUCAAUAAACCCCAUAUCAACAUAAAAGUGCCAGUCCAAAGAAAGCUGCUCUAACGAGCUUGUCUGCUCCUCUCUGAGAAGAAAGCACGGGUUUGGCAGCAACACCAGGGACUGUUGAAUAAUUAACCAACCACCAAUUCUGACCAGUAGGAAAUGAUGGAGUAAUUAUUUCUGGUCAUCUAUUUAUCUUCUCAAACAGGAAAAAAAUAUUCCUGUCUAAUACCUCCUUAGGUUGAUGAAACACAUAGAAAAUCACCUAAAUACUCUGGAACAUUCUAUAAGACCUGGGGCUUGGAAUGCAUCUCAGCUGGAAGCAUACUGGCUCCCUUGUGGGAUUUGAAGGGGGUUGUGCAGGGGUUUAAAACAGGAGUGUGGCCAAGAUCUCUACAGGUUCUGACCUCCAAUACCCUGUGAGAUGUAGUGCGGCAAGCAAAUACUGAAUUCAGGUUCUGUUCAAAGCAGCCAACAGUUUUAACCUGGGUUGAUGCUCAUGGAGCAAAUGUGAGAACUGAACCCAUCUAGACAAGCUCUGACCAUAUAAAACUGUUUUCAUAUGAAAGAUUUUAAACAACUGUGAUAUAAAGGCUGUGUGCUGCUGAGUAUGUAUCAAGCCUUCUUCUGUAUUUUGAAGUUUCUUUUCAGUUAUGCAGACUCCCCCCACUUUCUGCCCUUCUUCAUUUCCCAAGUGCCAUAUUAAAACAAUCCAGGAUCUAAAUUUCACUGUUCCUCUCUGAUACUUCACUAGUUUCACACCACCUUGCUGGCUCAGUUUGUAGCUCCAGGCAGAGACUGAGGAAAUAGUCUGAGAGGGAAAAAAAAUUUGAAUUCAGUCAAUUUUGAGUUGUUUUUUUUUUAAACAUUUUGUAAACAAAGCCAGCUCACUAAAAGAUGGAUGGAUGAACAAAGGAAGUGAUUAAAUAAAGAAUGAUUAUCAUUAGCCUCCUAUGCACUCCUCACAGUUUAUAGGAAAUAUAUCUGUUCUCAAAGCUAUUUAAGGCAGGUGCUUUAUAUAUAUUUUGCAAAAAAAAAAAAAACCAAAAAAAUUUGGUGAAAUAAAAAUGAAAAAUCUAAA